AGCGAAUCCUAGGCUCUGGCCAGAAUGCUUGGAAAGCAGCGUUUGCUUUACAGGGACCUGGAGCUGCAAGCAGGGCUGAGGAAGAACCGGAAAGCCCAGGCGUGCCUCCUCGGGGCAGCCUUCCUGAGGCUGCGUGAGCCAAACUCCGCCCUUGACUCCGCCCUUGGGCUCUGACGUAGCAUUUACCGGAGCUUCACCUCUCCGUCAGCGCCGGGAAUUCCUCAAGGGCAGCGUUGCCACGCCCCCUUCCUGAGUGCCCUCCUAGGGGUCUUAGAGCCAUCAGCAAGAAGAAGCAAUGGAAGAAUCUGCUGGAAAAAAUCAACCAAGACCAUGAACUCAAUUCGUUUGCACUGUUCCUUAGCUGUUCUGAUUGAUGUUUGGAUUCUGGCCACAUUUAACCAACCAACACAGGUUCUGAACAAUUGGUGAGAGCGUGUGUUUGGAAGGGUUACGUAGAGAGAAAAGGUUAGGAUCUCAAACCAGAGUACCAUCCAGGUGACCAGAGAAAGUCACUCUGCCUUUCUGAGACUUCUCAUCUCUAAGGUGAGAAUAAAAAUCUUUUUCCAGGUAUCAGGGAUGUGGGGUUGUAAGCAGAAUUAUGGGAAAGAAAACUACUCGUAUGGAGGUGCUUCAGGUGCUAGAGUUUACACAUCUUUGUGUUUCACAAAAGGCAGUGUGAAUGAAAAGCAUGAUACAAAUAUGAGGAUUAUUAUAUCCCUUUAAGUUCUUUUCUGCUCAUUGCAUGUAUUUCUGGCUUCCCUAAUAUGUUAAUUCAUUUGAUCAGUAUGUGCUGAGCAUUUACUGUGCGUGUGACCCUGUGCUAGGUGCUAGAGAUGCAGCCGUGUAAACACAGAUAUGUCUCAGUUUUUAUGGAGCUUAUAGUCAUUGGGGGAACUAUCAAAAAACACCUGCACAAAAAUUAAUAUAUAAUUACAAAUGUGGUAAGUCCUAUAAUAGGAAAGAAUGGAGAGAGUUGAGAGAAGAGGGGACUUCUGUGUGGAUAAUUGGGGAGGGGAGGGCAGCUAAGAUCUCUGAGAGUGUAAGGUUUGGCCUGAGACCUAUAGAAUGAAUUAGAUUCAGGGCCCCAGCGAGAGAGGCCCCUGCACAUGAAGCAGUGGGGACCAGGGCUGGGAGGCCAGAAGGGAGUAGCAGGCUCUCUGUUCUGCACCAUCUCCUGCUCCACCACGUCCCCCAAGUUCCCAAACCCAGAGCUGCUAGCGGAGGACGGGGCACAGAGUUGACAUUUUUUAGGGAGAAUAAUGCAGUCAUUAAGGCACUCUACUUGUGGCCUCACAUUCCUCCUUCCAAGCACAAGGUUUGGAUGUCUUUCCAUCCCUGCUGAACUUGGGCCCAAACAAGUGACUACUUUGGCUGGUGGGAUGGGGAGAGUGUGAUGUGGGUCACUUCCUGGCAGAACUCUUAAGAUGGGGGCUUGAUGUGCCACAUUUCCCGGCUCCGGUUCCAGGCUGGAUGUGUUCCCAAGGGAUGGCUCUGCUGGUCUGGGUCCCUGAGGGAGAAGAACCAGAACAGACCCCUGCCUAUCCACAUAGACAUGACACGUGAUCUAGGAAUAAAUGUUUGUCGUGCUCAGCCACUGAAACUUUGUUAUGUAUUUGCUAUGACAGCAUCAUACAAUUUACAAUAUUCUGAUACAAAUUCGGUAUUAUAAUGAUGAGGAGUAAAAUGGACAGUUGUUGAGGGUUUGGGGAAAGCCAAAGAAGGAAGGAGACGGAGCCAGCAUGAAGGCGUGUUACUGAGGUCACUGCUGUAGAGCAGCGAGGGCUCAAGGGUCGAACUGUGAGCCUGCUGACUGCCUUCCAGAAUUUUCUUGCCACAGGAGAGGACUUUGGAGUACUUAUUCACAGGCUCUGUCCUCUGUUGCUUGAAGUUUGGGCCAGAGGUGCCUCCUUUCCCACAGUGCCCCACUGCACCUGCAGGCGGGUCGAUGAGGUCCCUUGACUUUGGAGAAGUUUCUGAAGCAGAAACGGUGGAGACACUUGUCAUGCCCUUGGAGGUAGGACUCUGCCAGUGUGCACAGGACUGCCCAUUGCUUUUGGUGAAAUCAGAUGGCAUCAGAGACAGCCUGAGGGAACAUGACACGAGACACCGAGAGCAUUUGCUAUAGUUCCUGUCUGCUACAUUACCACCCCUCCUCCCGGUUUGUCUUUGGGAAGAGCCUAGGGACAAAGGUCAUACAGCCCUGAGGAUGCAGCUCCACUGCAGACCAUGAAAGCCCAGGAAACUAAGGUAGGUGAAUUCUGAUUCACCUCCUCCAAGAAGCCUUCCAGGAUUCCCUCUGCUAAAGUAUUCUUGCCUUCUUCUGAACUCCCCUCUGGUCUUCUACUGCCCUCAUGUAGAGCUCUCUGUGCUGCCAGUGACUGCCCACGAAUCUCUGUUUCUACAUUAUCUGGAGGCAGGGCUCACUUGAGAUUCAUCUUUGUGGCCUUGUGCCCAGCACAGUGAUGGAACAUUGAGAA